GACGAACGCUGGCGGCGUGCUUAACACAUGCAAGUCGAACGGGAUUUAGUAGACAGAAGCUUCGGUGGAAGAUUACUAAUGAGAGUGGCGAACGGGUGAGUAACGCGUGAGCAACCUGCCUAUGACAGUGGGAUAGCCUCGGGAAACCGGGAUUAAUACCGCAUAAAAUCGUAGAAACACAUGUUUUAACGGUCAAAGAUUUAUCGGUCAUAGAUGGGCUCGCGUCUGAUUAGCUAGUUGGUGAGAUAAC
rnacentral:rRNA from 1 species